rnacentral:rRNA from 1 species
AACGAACGCUGGCGGCAGGCUUAACACAUGCAAGUCGAACGCCCCGCAAGGGGAGUGGCAGACGGGUGAGUACCGCGUGGGAACAUACCCUUUUCUACGGAAUAGCUCUGGGAAACUGGAAUUAAUACCGUAUACGCCCUACGGGGGAAAGAUUUAUCGGGGAAGGAUUGGCCCGCGUUGGAUUAGCUAGUUGGUGGGGUAAAGGCCUACCAAGGCGACGAUCCAUAGCUGGUCUGAGAGGAUGAUCAGCCACAUUGGGACUGAGACACGGCCCAAACUCCUACGGGAAGCAGCAGUGGGGAAUAUUGGACAAUGGGCGCAAGCCUGAUCCAGCCAUGCCGCGUGAGUGAUGAAGGCCUUAGGGUUGUAAAGCUCUUUCACCGAUGAAGAUAAUGACGGUAGUCGGAGAAGAAGCCCCGGCUAACUUCGUG